rfam:Sorghum bicolor cultivar BTx623 chromosome 6, whole genome shotgun sequence.
AUUCCAUGAUGGGGACAGGCUCGGGCAAGGUCCUGCAGCCUUUCCCAUGCUUCAGGGAUGGACUCGAGUGAUGUUUGCUGGAAGUUGGAUAUCUCCCUCCUUAGAGC